rnacentral:lncRNA from 1 species
ACUUUGGGUCUGUCUUUUCAAACAAGAGCUGCAGAAAACGUUAUAGCAAGGUCGAAGCUUUAUUCCACUCUGACUCACUCAGAAAGCACAACCCUGAUUUUGCAUAAGAACAGCUAUCAACAGACCCUAAAACGUGAGUCCUAUUGGUUUGUGCUAUUGAAUUCUACUUUGCUAUAUAAAUGAUCUUGUGAUAAGAUAUGGCUUUUAUUUCAUAAUUAAAAUCUUGACCAGGUAUAAAUGUAGACUAUAAGAAGUGCAGAAAGGAAGAAUUGAUAUGUUUGUUGCAUUCUUUAGUUUAAAAGAUUCUAGUAGUUAGUAGCUACUUAACUCUGAAGCAGAUAUUGUGCUGUUCAUUGAUAGUUGUUUUAAAGCAGAUAGCUUUACAGAGUUUUGAUGUUCCAAUUUCUUUAUGGUUGAUAAAAAUAUAUAAAUAUAAUAUUCCUUACAACUAAGCAUUUCCAUGCUAUUUUGUACAUGAUUUACUUUUCUAUGAUCAAUAUCCCUAAGUAUUUAGAGCAUGUAUUUAGCAUCUCAGUUUUUCUCGGAGAUUUUACAAAUGGAAUAAGUGCUGGGUCAAAGAUAAAAGGCUUGGUGCACUUUUCUUCUCAGUUCUAUCACAGAUCUGACUUUUAGCUACUUAAUAAUUUUUGGUAUCUCUUCUCUCUGGCCUCUGAUAAGUUGUCUUUGAUAACCUGCUGUUUUGUUCUUGAGCUUUGCCAUGGCUACAACUCUGGGGUAUCAGAACUGUCAAAAAUAAAAGUAAAAGAGCAAGAAUCGUGGAGCUUAUGAAAGUUAGAGAAGACAUAAGGCCUGGUAUCGACAGAUGAAUUUUCCACUGGCAGGUAGUUUUCACUUUAUCCCAUUUGCUGUCACAGUACACAGUACCUGAAAUAAUAAGGGGAUUUUUUUUUUCCCGAAUAAUGGACGAUAGGGGCUGUUUGCUUUGUGAGAAUCUGCCAAGGCAGCAUGCCAUGUGGCUUUAUCUUUGAAAGUGAGGGUAAAACAAGCUUGCUGAGCUGCAGAUAAGGGACUUAGAAGGAAUUCUAUUCAGAUGUACCUGUCACUAAUUUAUCUGGAGGUUUUGUGAUUCAUACAUACUGCUCUAUGUGCGAUGAGGCAUUAAAUUGGUUUCCUCUGGGAGCAGGUCACAUUCAGGGGUCCUCAGACCUACGCUUGUGGUAUGGUGCAUGCCUGAUUCAUAUAGCCUAUUGCUACUCAAUUUUUAUCUAUUAGAGGGCUGGUAAGUUGAACAUAUGUUAGAUGAUCUCUUGGAACAUUUCAACAGCAAAGGGAGAUUGACAGAAACUUAACUAUCUAUUAAUAUGCACAUGUUUCUAACAAAAAUUAAUCAAACUUUCUGAUGUUAGUACAUUUAUUAUGAUAAUUAAGUAGUUAUACAUAUGUUUCCCAAUAAUGGCCUAGCUCUUUAUGAGUGCAUUUCCAUAGCUCCUUUAUUUAUUGGAACAAAGGGAUAUGUACUUAAGUGCAUUAUUUUAUCCUGGAAAAAAAAAUGCAGAGCUGAUUUGAAACAGGUUUCACGAAAGGAAAAAUUUCAGAAAACAUAGAGUUUUCCCAUUUACAUUAUAGUUUUCUCCUGUGGCAAUUCUGCUUCAUUACUCAAUAUAUUUUGAAAAAAAUGUCAUACCUUAGAAAAUGAAAUAGAUACUGGUUCAAAUUUGAAAGGAAUAUAAAAGGAAGAGAUGCUUAUUUAUUGUUAACAUUAUACUGAGAGGUUUUUACACUGAUCUCUUUUUUUUGGAUGUGAGAUAUUUUAGCAAAUGCAAAAAAAAAAAAAAAAAAAA